rnacentral:ncRNA from 1 species
UGUCGGGGGUGCUGGAAACGGCUGAGAUGAACGCAAGUUCGAACCCUUUACCUGAUACGGAUAAUGCCGUCGUAGGGAGAUAUAUUU